UCAUGGACGCCCAAGUACUUUGACGCAUUGCUCUAUCCUAUUACCAAGUGCCAUGAUCUAUCUCACACAAAUUGCUUAGGACAUAAACAAUGCUUGUGAGUGCACAUAAAUGAUCACUCAUUUAGUAUCAUCUGGGGUUGGUUCUUGGAGUUGCCUGAGGUUGGGCUUCUGAUCCUUUAAUUUUGCCAGAAUUGUGGGAUCCAUGGCCUUCAGAUUUUCCUUCGUCUAGAUCUUGGGGAUGUUUGAUUUCCAAAGAUUUUCCUCCAUCUUGGAGAUUAUCCGAUUUUCUAGAUUUUUCAAAAUUUUUAUGUGAUUGACCUUCUGUUCCCAGCCCUUUUUCUGGAUUUUGAACAGAAUGAACUUCUGAACCUUGGCUCUUCUCAGGGAUUUGGGGUGAUUGACGGACCUCUGAUCCUCUAACUUUACUAGUUGUAGUUGCUUGACCUGAAGGUCGACCUUUAUCCAUAUUUUGGAGUUCACUGGUAAGCUGGCUUCGUCGUUCCUUCAAAAAAUUGAGUCUGGUUGUCAACUUUGUCAGUGCAGAAGUUGUGGAACUCAAUCCCUCAAUCCUUGAGCUAGACUUUUUGGAAUUGGUUGAAGAUCUGGAGUUGCUACUAUGUGCUGGAUCUGGCUGCUGGCUUUGAGGUGGAGUCUUGUUUGAUAAAUUAGUUGAUUUGUCUGCACAAGUAUCCUUAUUUGCAGACCUUCCAACAUUUGAAGUUGCAUUAGCUUCAGUAUCUCUCUGUUUAUCUUUCCACUUUGCUUGAUGGUUUGAAGUAUGCAUUGGCUGAUUGCUUGAAUCACGCGUGGAGCCAUGGUUUUGCUCGCACUGUUGAUUCAGCUGCACACUGAGAUCAUCAACCUUCUGCUUCAUAUUGAAAUCUGCCUCUGCUUGACUUACUUCCUCAAGCCCUUUCUUCAUUUUUUCCCCAACAAUAGCUGGAACAGAUUGGUGUGCCUGAGAUUCGUUAAGUCCUGCUUCCAGAAUCAUCCUCUUUUCUCUCUCCUUUUGCAGCUCUUCCUGCAGUCUUGCCACAUCUUGCUCAAGGGCUAGACGGCGCUCAUGCAAGGCCUUCUUUCGUUUUUCCAAGUUGGCUUGCAAAACUGCAUUAACUUUAACCUCUUCAGAAAUUCUAUGUUGCAAGUCAAUUUUAGCAGACUCCAGCUUCUGGAUUUCAACUUCGUCAUCAAAAGUGUAAUCAGUGGAUGCCAUAGAAACAUUCUUCCUUGCAGAGAUAUAUGCAGAUGGAUCACCAGUUUGCAUGUUCUCCAAAUUUGUUUCCCCAGGGAAAUCUCCUACUAAUUCAUGUGACUCAAUGAUUUGAGUAGCCAAAUUAUUGUAACUUUGGCCCUGAAUAUUC
rnacentral:misc_RNA from 1 species